GUCCUGGAGUGCUGGGAGAGAGUUGUGCCCAUCAAGGUAACUUAAUUCUGCCCAUUUUCUCCAAGGUCGCCACAAACCUGGGAAGCAGAAGUCAGGCUCACGCCGCUGUCUGCACUGAUCUGGGACUUUCUCUCCUCUGUCUCACCAAGGUCAAAGGCGGGCUUGAUUACUUCUGGCCCUGAGUAGGGGAAGAACUCUGUCACUCAGCACACAGAGGCUGGGGCGGGCUGGAGAAGGGAGUGGAGCAGCAGCGCAGUCUCCUUUCCAGGGACCAGCCCCCCCAGACCCAGUCAAAGAGGUCCCCAGGUGCCUUAAGAAACAAACAGGACAAAUCAGACCCGGUCUCAGAGGACUCUGAAGAUGCUGAGCAAAUCAUCCUAGAACAGAAACGCUCCACAAAUGCCAACCACACUCCAUGGCGCCCAGAGCCAGAGCCUCACUGGAGCUGGAGGCCACUUAAGGGUCCCCUGGUUGUCAGCACUUCCCAGACAGACAAAUGUAUCCAAAGGAGCCAGGAAAGGCUAGGCCCAAAGAGAAAAGAAACACCUGCCCCACCCUCCCCUACAAUAGCUCCAUUUGAUGAAAACAACAACCAUCCACCCUUUCAGCGUACCCACCACAGUGGUAUGGCAGAAAGACAGAAUGACAGGAAGCAGGAAAGCGUGCCUAGGCAGGCCACCAGAGAGGUGGGCAGCUACAGACUCAACACGGAGGGACAGCAACCAUCUCUGCCAACUGUGCCCACAGGCCUCCUGGCAGUGGGGAGCCAUCAGCCAAUGGGGGGCACUGUGAUCAGCAAAGCCUCUCCCAGCAAGGUCCAGGUUUCUCCAGAGACACCCUGUGUGCUGUGGGGCGGGGCAGGAAGCAGCCUACAAGCCGGAUGCCUAGAAGUCACACACCACCUACCUGCUUUCAGGCCAAAUACCCCCCAAGAGCAAAUUUGGGGUGGGGCUGAGAGAAAAGCUGACUCAGAGAGCUCUAGCUCUGAGGCCAGAACCCACCAGGAACGUGGGGGCUGCACACACGCCAUGAAGGAGCCGUGUCCUGGCAGUCAGUGCCUGGCUGAGGAAAAACUGCCUUCAGAGACCCAGAUUAUCAUCGGUUUACAGGCCAGAGAUGCACCUGUAAACUUCCUCACAGCUUCCUGGAGUGCACAGGCCUCUUUGCUAUGUGAAGAAAACCAGAAAUCAAUGAAAAGAGGGACAGGAGCAUAGCCUGGACUCCCUGCACUGCGAUUCACAUGCCUCUGAACAACACUUCCACUCUUCUUCUAAUAUGUCGGUGGGGGCGGCUGAAGAUGCCAUGUAGGGACAGAGGAGUGUAAAGCAAUGCCACUGGGAAUGGACACAGCUCUCUCUCCUUCUCCAGAAAGCAAAGCAUGGGUGGGGGAGAAAGGCAGGAUUCUGGAUGGAUUGAGAGGACGAAGGGAUAUUUAAGGAGCUAGGACCCCUGUGGCACACCAAAUACAACGAUACGUACCAACAGAUGCUACAAAAUUCUCCUCCUUUAAACUUCUGGUGUCCGGUUCCUUGGGACCCUUUCCUGUGGCACUUGGUGCCCGAGGUCCCAGCUGGGGGACUCUCAGCUGGGCCAUAGCCUUUGGGUCCCCCCGCCCAGCCAGACCAGGGUCCUUGCCAACUGGGGUAUUUACACUCUCUGUGGGGCUUCUCUUCCGCUUGUCUGGCUCUGAGGGGAAAAUCAAACACAGAAGGAGGUUAAGAAGUAGCGAAUGGGGCUGGGGAUUUAGCUCAGUGGUGCCACCGCUGCCUCGCAAGCCCAAGGACCAGAAUGAGAUCCCCCCCGUACCAAAAAAAAAAAAAAAAAAAAUCAAGAAGUAGCGAAUGGGAAUACAGACAAGGAAAAGAGGUAGAAGAAACCAGGAUAUAGGAAGAUGUGGAAUAAAAGUGGUGUGGGGGAAAGUGGAGCCGACAUCUUACUUUGCAUGACAGAGACACCUCCACUCCAUACGUGCCAGCUAGAAAACAAAGUCCCCAGCCUGGCAGGACAUGUGUGGUGGGGCGCGGGGCUCGCUGAGAGGAGCGGGAGAGGCCGGGCGGGCGUGCGCCUCAGGGCAGCCCUACCUUUGCUGUAGUAGUGGGUCUGCGCGAUCUCCAGGAGCCCAAAGAUGCUGGCCAUACCGCCCAGCCCCGCGUGGGCGUAGGACUGCUCCAGGCUGAGCACUGUGCACUUGAGCAGGUCCAACAUGCCCUUGUACACCUUCCGGCUGAU
rnacentral:lncRNA from 1 species